UAUCUUCGGACGAACAGACCUGAAAAAUAAGAUUUGUUUUCAUGGGAUCUAUAUGUAUUAGAAAUUUAAAUCGAAAAGGGUCACCGUGAACUAAAAAAAAUUGGAAUUGGUCUUUGAAUUGCAUGUACCGCUGCUUAUUGAGCGUACACUCAUUGAUGCGUCAACACAGAAAAAGGCCCAGCAAAUACACGCCAUAAGCCCAACGGUCAUCAUACUCAGUCUGUUAAUUUUGUUCAACAUUUUGAAAACUGUAAAUGCACAAAUAAAAAUAAAAGUUAAAGGAAUUACCUAGAACUUUCUUAAAA